ensembl:rRNA 5_8S_rRNA 5.8S ribosomal RNA
GUCUCUUAGCGGUGGAUCACUCAGUUAGUGCGACGAUGAAGAACGCAGCUAGCUAUGAGAAUUAAUGUGAAUUGCAGGACACAUUGAUCAUCAACACUUCAAACGCACUUGCGGCCCCGAGUUCCUCCCGGGGCUACGCCUGUCUAAGUGUCG